GUGGUAGAGCAUGUUAUGCGAAUCCGGUUACGGUUCACUCUGAGGUAAGAUGUUUCUUGUGAAUACACUGAUUGAAGAUGAUGGUUUGAAUUUGGACCGUUGACACGGUCACACGGAGAUCACCGACCGGUGACUGGAUUCCUUGGACGUCGUGGACGGCUCAGUUAACUUGAACCACACGAGCCAGUGUGGGUCGGGCUAGGUUCGCAGGAACGGCAGGACUCACG
rnacentral:lncRNA from 1 species